GUGAAGAACGCAGUGAAAUGCGAUAAGUAAUGUGAAUUGCAGAAUUCAGUGAAUCAUCGAAUCUUUGAACGCAUCUUGCGCUCCUUGGUAUUCUGAGGAGCAUGCCUGUUUGAGUGUCAUUAAAUUCUCAACUACACUGACUUUGAAUUGGUGUGGCUUGGAUUUGGGGGGAAAAUUGUUGUGGGCUUUUUGUAUAGUCUGCUCCCCUGAAAUUGAUUAGCGGUACCUUUGUGGAACUGUCUACAGGUGUGAUAAUUAUCUACAUCUUAGACAUCUGCUGGAAUGCUGCUUUCUAAACCUUACUUGUAUUGACAAUCUUGACCUCAAAUCAGGUAGGACUACCCGCUGAACUUAAGCAUAUCAAUAAGCGGAGGA
rnacentral:misc_RNA from 1 species